AGAACGAACGCUGGCGGCGUGCCUAACACAUGCAAGUCGAGCGAGAAAGUCCCGGCAACGGGAUGAGUAAAGCGGCAAACGGGUGAGUAACGCGUAGGUAAUCUAUCCUUCGGAUCGGGAUAACCUGCUGAAAAGUGGGAUAAUACCGGAUAACGUUCUUGUGGGUAUCCUAUGAGAACCAAAGGGGGCGAGCGUAAGCAGCUCCCACCAAAGGAGGAGCCUGCGUCCGAUUAGCUAGUUGGUGGGGUAAAGGCCUACCAAGGCGACGAUCGGUAGCCGGCCUGAGAGGGCGACCGGCCACACUGGAACUGAGACACGGUCCAGACUCCUACGGGAGGCAGCAGUGGGGAAUAUUGCGCAAUGGGCGAAAGCCUGACGCAGCGACGCCGCGUGGGUGAUGAAGGCCUUCGGGUUGUAAAGCCCUGUCUGGUGGAACGAAUGGCUUAGCGGCAAAUAACCGCUAGGCGUGACGGUACCACCGAAGGAAGCCCCGGCUAACUACGUGCCAGCAGCCGCGGUAAGACGUAGGGGGCGAGCGUUGUUCGGAUUUACUGGGCGUAAAGCGCGCGUAGGCGGCUAGAUAAGUCGGGUGUGAAAUCCCUCGGCUUAACCGAGGACCCGCAUCCGAUACUGCCUGGCUCGAGUCUAGGAGAGGAAAGCGGAAUUCCCAGUGUAGCGGUGAAAUGCGUAGAUAUUGGGAGGAACACCGGUGGCGAAGGCGGCUUUCCGGACUAGCACUGACGCUGAGGCGCGAAAGCUAGGGGAGCGAACGGGAUUAGAUACCCCGGUAGUCCUAGCCGUAAACGAUGGGCACUAGGUGUGGGAGGUAUUGACCCCUUCCGCGCCGAAGCUAACGCAUUAAGUGCCCC
rnacentral:rRNA from 1 species